GAUGAACGCUGGCGGCGUGCUUAACACAUGCAAGUCGAACGGUGAAAGCGGGAGCUUGCUCCUGCUGGAUCAGUGGCGAACGGGUGAGUAACACGUGAGCAAUCUGCCCCGAACUCUGGGAUAAGCGCUGGAAACGGCGUCUAAUACCGGAUACGACGCGCGACGGCAUCGUCUGCGCGUGGAAAGAACUUCGGUUCGGGAUGAGCUCGCGGCCUAUCAGCUUGUUGGUGAGGUAACGGCUCACCAAGGCGACGACGGGUAGCCGGCCUGAGAGGGUGACCGGCCACACUGGGACUGAGACACGGCCCAGACUCCGACGGGAGGCAGCAGUGGGGAAUAUUGCACAAUGGGCGCAAGCCUGAUGCAGCGACGCCGCGUGUGGGAUGACGGCCUUCGGGUUGUAAACCACUGUCGGAAGGGACGAAUGGCCCGCAUGGGCAGUGACGGUACCUUCAAAGGAAGCACCGGCUAACUCCGUGCCAGCCGCCGCUGUUAAAC
rnacentral:rRNA from 1 species